GACGAACGCUGGCGGCGUGCUUAACACAUGCAAGUCGAACGGAAAGGCCCUGCUUUUGUGGGGUGCUCGAGUGGCGAACGGGUGAGUAACACGUGAGUAACCUGCCCUUGACUUUGGGAUAACUUCAGGAAACUGGGGCUAAUACCGGAUAGGAGCUCCUGCUGCAUGGUGGGGGUUGGAAAGUUUCGGCGGUUGGGGAUGGACUCGCGGCUUAUCAGCUUGUUGGUGGGGUAGUGGCUUACCAAGGCUUUGACGGGUAGCCGGCAUGAGAGGGUGACCGGCCACAUUGGGACUGAGAUACGGCCCAGUCUCCUACGGGAGGCAGCAGUGGGGAAUAUUGCACAAUGGGCGGAAGCGUGAUGCAGCAACGCCGCGUGCGGGAUGACGGCCUUCGGGUUGUAAACCGCUUUCGCCUGUGACGAAGCGUGAGUGACGGUAAUGGGUAAAGAAGCACCGGCUAACUACGUG
rnacentral:rRNA from 1 species